rnacentral:piRNA from 1 species
CCGAUGCUGAUGCCGCCUUUGAGUC